rnacentral:rRNA from 1 species
UACAGAGGUCCCAAGCGUUGUUCGGAUUCAUUGGGCGUAAAGGGUGCGUAGGCGGCGCGGUAAGUCGGGUGUGAAAUCUCGGGGCUUAACUCCGAAACUGCAUUCGAUACUGCCGUGCUUGAGGACUGGAGAGGAGACUGGAAUUUACGGUGUAGCGGUGAAAUGCGCAGAUAUCAGGAGGAACACCGGUGGCGAAGGCGGGUCUCUGGGCCGAUACUGACGCUGAGGAGCGAAAGCGUGGGAGCGAACAGG